rnacentral:rRNA from 1 species
UGGGGAAUAUUGCACAAUGGGCGAAAGCCUGAUCCAGCCAUGCCGCGUGUGUGAAGAAGGUCUUCGGAUUGUAAAGCACUUUAAGUUGGGAGGAAGGGCAUUAACCUAAUACGUUAGUGUUUUGACGUUACCGACAGAAUAAGCACCGGCUAACUCUGUGCCAGCAGCCGCGGUAAUACAGAGGGUGCAAGCGUUAAGCGGAAUUACUGGGCGUAAAGUGCGCGUAGGUGGUUUGUUAAGUUGGAUGUGAAAUCCCCGGGCUCAACCUGGGAACUGCAUUCAAAACUGACUGACUAGAGUAUGGUAGAGGGUGGUGGAAUUUCCUGUGUAGCGGUGAAAUGCGUAGAUAUAGGAAGGAACACCAGUGGCGAAGGCGACCACCUGGACUAAUACUGACACUGAGGUGCGAAAGCGUGGGGAGCAAACA